CCUACGGGUGGCUGCAGUGAGGAAUAUUGGUCAAUGGACGCAAGGCUGAACCAGCCAUGCCGCGUGCAGGAAGACGGCUCUAUGAGUUGUAAACUGCUUUUGUACGAGGGUAAACGCAGAUACGCGUAUCUGUCUGAAAGUAUCGUACGAAUAAGGAUCGGCUAACUCCGUGCCAGCAGCCGCGGUAAUACGGAGGAUUCAAGCGUUAUCCGGAUUUAUUGGGUUUAAAGGGUGGGUAGGCGGUCGGUUAAUUUAGAGGUGAAAUCCCGAGGCUAAACUUCGGAAUUGCCUUUGAUACUGUUAGGCUAGAGAGUAGUUGCGGUAGGCGGAAUGUAUGGUGUAGCGGUGAAAUGCUUAGAGAUCAUACAGAACACCGAUUGCGAAGGCAGCUUACCAAGCUAAUUCUGACGUUGAGGCACGAAAGCGUGGGGAGCAAACAGGAUUAGAUACCCGAGUAGUC
rnacentral:rRNA from 1 species